GCCGGAGUGGUGGAAUUGGUAGACGCGCUAGGUUCAGGACCUAGUGUCCUUUGGGACGUGGGGGUUCGAGUCCCCCCUUCGGCA
rnacentral:tRNA from 1 species